rnacentral:lncRNA from 1 species
CAGAGCCCCGGGCUCCCGGGCGCCUGGCCGCGAGAGCCCCCGCGCUGCCUUUGCCCCUUCCUGAGCCGCAGUCCCCUCUCCCUCCGCCGCCGACCCUACCAUACCCGUUCGCGGUCCCUAUUAGCUUGUAACUAACUUAACACUUAAGCCUUUGCCCUCCGGCUCAGCUCCUUAAAGCUUCCUGAUUCCCAAACUUUUAUGGUAAUUACGGACCACCGCUCAGUCCCUAACGCCUGUGCCCUCCAGGAUGCCAGGGACCCCGGCCGCGCGUCCCCUCCAGACACCCGCUGCCCGAGACCCCGUCGAUAGGCUUGCAGAAAGCAAACCAGGAAGUCAGGGCUGCUGCCGCUGCCCCCGCCGCAGUAGCUCCACGUGGCUGAUUUAUAGCUGGAACGAUUUUUUAUUAUUAUUAUUGAUCUGGGGUUUUUUUUCACAGUGUUCCCUAAGGAGGUGGAUUUGUAACGGAAAGGCCCAGGAGAUUGCUUUUCUUCCUGUGAGAUCUCAGGAAAGGAUAAUGCUUGACCAGGUCUCCCCCCACCUGCGCCCAAAUGUUGUGCCUGUUACCUCCUAACAAAG